UACAGAGGUCUCGAGCGUUGUUCGGAUUCAUUGGGCGUAAAGGGUGCGUAGGUGGCGUGGUAAGUCUGAUGUUAAAGCCCGGAGCUCAACUCCGGUAUGGCAUUGGAAACUGGGCAGCUUGAGUAUGAUAGAGGUUACGGGAAUUCCUGGUGUAGCGGUGAAAUGCGUAGAUAUUGGGAAGAACACCGGUGGCGAAGGCGGCUCACUGGCUCGUAACUGACGCUCAUGCACGACAGCGUGGGGAUCAAACAGG
rnacentral:rRNA from 1 species